UACGGGAGGCAGCAGUGGGGAAUAUUGCACAAUGGGCGCAAGCCUGAUGCAGCCAUGCCGCGUGUAUGAAGAAGGCCUUCGGGUUGUAAAGUACUUUCAGUCGUGAGGAAGGUGUUAAGGUUAAUAACCUUAGCAAUUGACGUUAGCGACAGAAGAAGCACCGGCUAACUCCGUGCCAGCAGCCGCGGUAAUACGGAGGGUGCGAGCGUUAAUCGGAAUUACUGGGCGUAAAGGGCACGCAGGCGGUUAAUUAAGUUGGAUGUGAAAUCCCCGGGCUUAACCUGGGAAUGGCAUUCAAGACUGGUUAGCUAGAGUCUUGUAGAGGGGGUAGAAUUCCAUGUGUAGCGGUGAAAUGCGUAGAGAUGUGGAGGAAUACCGGUGGCGAAGGCGGCCCCUGGGACAAAGGCUGACGCUCAUGUGCGAAAGCGUGGGGAGCGAAACAGGAUUAGAUA
rnacentral:rRNA from 1 species